GUUGUAACAUCUAAUACAAGUGAAAAGCAUGGCUUGAUGAGUGGCGCACAGGUCCUCGUCCGGGAUCCGAACCUGCAAACCCCUGGCUGCUGAAGCAGAGAGCGCAAAUUUAACCACUACACCAAGCGUCCAGGCCGCCGGAACACUUUUAAAAAAUGAAUCUCUUCAGAAUUUUGGUCCUACAUUAAUAAUUCAGAAUAGAAAAUCAUAAUGUUCCAGCUCAUUGUAAAUGUCUUUCUUCCUUGUGAUAAACAAACAGGAGUUCCCCUGGUGAAAUCUGAAGCUGGGCAAGGAGAGACCAAAGAAAGACAUACACCAUUCCAGAUUGGUAAGUGGCAAGUUUAAU
rnacentral:lncRNA from 1 species